rnacentral:rRNA from 1 species
GGCUAUGACGGAUAUCUGGUUUGAGAGGAUGAUCAGACACACUGGAACUGAGACACGGUCCAGACUCCUACGGGAGGCAGCAGUGAGGAAUAUUGCACAAUGGAGGAAACUCUGAUGCAGCAACGCCGCGUGGAGGAUGACGCAUUUCGGUGUGUAAACUCCUUUUAUUAGGGAAGAUAAUGACGGUACCUAAUGAAUAAGCACCGGCUAACUCCGUGCCAGCAGCCGCGGUAAUACGGAGGGUGCAAGCGUUACUCGGAAUCACUGGGCGUAAAGGGUGCGUAGGCUGGCUUUUAAGUCAGAUGUGAAAUCCAAUGGCUCAACCAUUGAACUGCAUUUGAAACUGAAAGCCUAGAGUUCAGAAGGGGCAGAUGGAAUUAGUGGUGUAGGGGUAA